CCGGGAGUAUUCCAGAGUAUCGAUUUUCCACAGAGAACGUGAGUGCACUAAUUAAGAUCCAAGAUCGCCUAAGGAUAACUAUAUAAUUAUUUUUGGUGGGAAGAGAGGAAGUUUCCUGAGAGUUCUCUGGUUGAUCUAAGAAUCAAGAAUUACUUCAAGAUUAUCUAUUUCGGGACAUCAGAGCACUAACCACAGAAAGAGAUGAGAAGGGGGCUAGGAAGGUCUGACUAUGGUCCUACA
rnacentral:lncRNA from 1 species